rnacentral:rRNA from 1 species
AACGAACGCUGGCGGCAUGCCUAACACAUGCAAGUCGAACGAGACCUUCGGGUCUAGUGGCGCACGGGUGCGUAACGCGUGGGAACCUGCCCUUAGGUUCGGAAUAACUCCCCGAAAGGGGUGCUAAUACCGGAUAAUGUCUUCGGACCAAAGAUUUAUCGCCUUUGGAUGGGCCCGCGUUGGAUUAGCUAGUUGGUAGGGUAAAAGCCUACCAAGGCGACGAUCCAUAGCUGGUCUGAGAGGAUGAUCAGCCACACUGGGACUGAGACACGGCCCAGAAUCCUACGGGAGGCAGCAGUGGGGAAUAUUGGACAAUGGGCGAAAGCCUGAUCCAGCAAUGCCGCGUGAGUGAUGAAGGCCUUAGGGUUGUAAAGCGCUUUUACCCGUGAUGAUAAUGACAGUACCGGGAGAAUAAGCUCCGGCUAACUCCGUG